rnacentral:rRNA from 1 species
UACGUAGGGGGCUAGCGUUGUCCGGAAUCAUUGGGCGUAAAGCGCGUGUAGGCGGCCCGGUAAGUCCGCUGUGAAAGUCGGGGGCUCAACCCUCGGAUGCCGGUGGAUACUGUCGGGCUAGAGUACGGAAGAGGCGAGUGGAAUUCCUGGUGUAGCGGUGAAAUGCGCAGAUAUCAGGAGGAACACCAAUUGCGAAGGCAGCUCGCUGGGACGUGACUGACGCUGAGACGCGAAAGCGUGGGGAGCAAAC